GAGAGACUGCCGCCAUGAUCCAAUCACCUCCCACCAGGUCUCUCUCUCAACACCUGGGGGUUAGAAUUCAAGAUGAGCUUUGGGUGGGGACAAAAAGCCUAACCAUAUCAAGUGCCCAGAAGAGGGCAGAGCCUGGACAUCCUAGAAAGUGGUCUUCAUGACAGAGGAUUCCUGCCAAUGACUUGGAUGUAGCUUUCCAAAGCUGUGUGAAGAAAUACAGCUUUGGCGUGACUAAUGAGGACAGAUGUGGAAUUUCUGCUCCUGAGAAAUCUUUAAACACAAAUAAUAUACUAUUUUUUGUUCCGUACAAGCUAGAAAUUUACCUAAGGACAAGAAGCUAGUCCUGGUAAUAUCCCGUGAUCCUUUUUAGUUGUAGUUUCCUAUGGCUUAGCAAUUCAUCGGAAUAUGAAAGUAUUCAAGGCCAAGAUGGUGGCUCACGCCGGUAAUGCUAGCACGUUGAGGGGCCGGGACAGGUGGAUCACUUAAGGCCAGGAGUUCAAGACCAGCCUGGGAAAUAUGGUGAAACCCCAUCUCUACUAAAAAUACAAAAAUCAGCCGGGAAUGGUAGUGCAUGCCUGUAAUCUCAGCUACUCAGGAGGCUGAGGCACAAGAAUUGCUUGAAUCCAGGAGGCAGAGGUUACAGUGAGCUGAGAUCGCAGCACUGCACUCCGUCCUGGGUGACAGAGCAAGACUCUAUUAAAAAAAAAAAAAAGUAUUCAAGGGCGUUCAUAUUGUUAAAGUGAUAACAUCUCAUUUUUCAUAAAAGUUAGAUAUGAUUUAAAUCAUUAAUUUAAGACAGAGUUUUUCUAAAUUUUAGACGAGCAAUAUUAACUAAACAUACGCAACACUUAUGAUCAUAUAGAAAUACAAACACAAGUCUGUUGGCUUUUAAAGAACAAAAUGCAAGAACUCCAAAUAGACUAUGACCACACUUUUGUCUGCUUUUAACACUGCGUGAAGCUAAAUGUCCUGCCACAUUUUAGUGUAUGUAAUGUGUCAAAACCAAGCAGUAUCUUACAUUAAAACAUUAUUUGUCAAC
rnacentral:lncRNA from 10 species